rnacentral:sRNA from 1 species
CUUUUCCCUUUCGCGUUGUUGCGUGGUCGCUAGUUGUUCGCGCUAUUUGUUAGGGGGAACACCACGUAUUAUAACUCUCGGUAUUUCACAUCAAGAAGCCAUAGAUUGGGUCAAAUUGCACGUUUAACAAGAUUUAAAACCUAUAGAAACAAAACAGUCUUGUGUCUGGAACCGGGUCCAACGUAAUAAGUAUGGCGUACAAUGACAUUUGAUGGUGGAUAACGUUUCAAACAUAUUUAUUAUGAACAAUAAUGUGUUUAUUUGGGAGAAAUGGAGCUGGUAAAACUCACAUCAUGCAGGGUUUUCCCUCCAUACAGUUUGUAUGUCCCAUGAAUUUCAUCACCUUUCUCAGAGGGAAGGGAGUGUUUGGCAAACACUGUUUGCUGCGUAGCUCAGCUAGGUUUGGUGCCACAUCUGCUUAUGUUGAAAUAAUUUUCAACAAUGAUGAUAGACAUUUACCAGAAGAAUGAAAUGAAGUGGAUCUGAGUGAGAAAUAGCAUCAAUACUUGCACAAUGCAAGUUGGUAAAACAACUAUUCUAAAUAAUACUUUAUUCUAAAUCUUUCAUCCAAAUCUGGUUGAUACUGAAAGAGCAGCGCCGUCAACAGCUAACUGCAAAACUUAGUCGGGAGGCUUUAUUUUCUUCCGUUUUGCAAAUAGUUGUUCACGCUCGGAUUUGAAAAAAAAAAGAAAAUAACUUAAACGUAAAAAAAAAAAAAAAAAAAGAUCAAGAGCCAAAGAUCGACAGUACAGCAGCCAUAGAGUCAGUGAACAAUGUGUGGAAUCUGAUAUGCUAGCCCUUGAAACCCCAGCUGCCCUUCUGCCUCAACGAGACUAUGAAGCAAUUAUAAUUUCAGGAGGUCCCAACUCAGUUUACGCGGCGGAUGUCCAGCUAUACGACCCAGCAAUCUUUACUAGCGGUCUUCCAUUACCUGGGAAUUUGUUAUGCAUGCAAUUACUCAAUAAGAAAUUAGAAAAAAGAUGGUCACGAAGAUGGGCAAUUCGAGAUCCAACAUCCAAGUAGAAACGAGUGCCCAUUUUUUAAGGCUUAGAGACUGGGUCAGUGUACAUCGCGUACUUGAACGUGGAACGGUACUGCGUGGAGGUCAUGGUGGAAAUGGGAGGAGCCAAAGGUACGGCGUGGAAGUCAUCUUGGAAAUGGGAGGAGCUAGAAGCCGUGGAAAAUGCCGGAGGCUGGGUAUCCUGUGGAAUUGAUUCCGAAAAUCGUGAAUAAUGUGCUAGGAUUCGCCGUGGCGGAAACACCUAGAGGCUUCAAUCAGCCAGCCUGUGACGGAAUGGCCGCCUUACGCGAAGUUGCGUCUAUUUCGUGGAGGAAGUUUGAACUCGAUUUACAACAAGAUAUCGUUGCGUUUAUAUUUGCUCCAAAGCCCGGUUUGGAUGACGCUAGUUAGUAUCCAGCACAUCACUGGCGAGGUACUCGAAGACUGUGUCUUUUUCGAACAUGAAGGAACCCUGUACAUGGCUUUGGCCAUACAGCUUGGUGCAAUGCAGUAUUGUCGAAAUUCCAGAUUGCAAUGCAUAAUUUAUGAGGGGUUAGGGACCACUAUGGAUAUGAAGCACGCUUUUGCGGCUCCUGAACUUAAGAAAUAUGUGUCCUUCAGUCAUCCGAUACUGGUCCCUUGGGGCCAUUUCACAUAGAUUCUUCCUUUCGUCUGAGUCGAUUUACUGAUGCGGAGGAUUCAGAGUUAUUGGAAAUUCUAAACAUUGACCCGGAUUGAGUGUUCCAGUUUGAUACUUCUCUAACGGAAGCUCAGUGGUGCCUUCUUCCAGGAGGAUCAAAUAAUUCCUACAUCUAUUGCCUUCAAGGUGUUGCACUAAUUUAGCGAAGGAUUUGUGAAACCAAAAGAAAUUAAGGGCGUUGAAGAAAUACUAGACAUCGCAGCAAAAAAUUUCUGGCUAGAAUCCACCACUUUUACGGGUCGUAUACGUCUCAAUGGUGCAUUACUGCAUUAUUAACGGUUGGGAUUACGAUGAAUUUUUCCGUCAAGCAUGGCGCUACUCUUCAUCAGAACAUACUGUUCUUUAUCAUGUGUGGAUCGGAGGUCUUAAAGCUGAAAAUGUUUAGGUUGGUUCACUAUUGGAGGAUCACUGCCCUCGCGUUGGCUACUGAAAUCCGGAGAGAAAAUAAAUGGAGGUGCUGAUUUGGUUAGUUUGGAUGUCCGAGGUAAUAUCGACGUUGGCAAUAACUCCAUCAACGGUGUAGCUGUGGAGGAUACAUUGCGAAAGAAUGCCUCAUAUAUCGUCAUUCAAGGGACGAAAUCAUUUUCCGCUAUCGAAGUUAAAAACAAUAUUACAACCAGCACCGUCAAUAAGAAAAGCGAGAAAGAGCAGAAUUUCACCACAUCGGUGCGGAUCGUCGGUACUGUACAGGUAGUUGAAAGCUUCCGCAGUGACUGGAUUAACGGAAUAAACGUGUACGUGCUCCCCGGAGUACUCGUUGACAAGAAUGCCCACCAAAUCGGAAUAAAGGAUUUGUCCAUUUUACUGGUCCUUUGCUUGUUGACGAUGCUGAAGUGGAUUCUCUAAACGAUCUCCUUAUCAAAGAUUUAUUGAGCACCUCGGGCCAGCAAACUAUCCUAGCGAGUAUUGAAGUCGACGUCCUAGAUGUCCAAGGAAACAUUGACUGUCCAGAUAUUAAUGGACGAAAUGUGGAUGACUUCCUGUACACUGAUGAAGAUGACACACGCAUUGUGCUGGGUCGGGUAUGGAUCUCAGACGACUUGGUCAUGGAAAACGGAAGUUUUAACAGAGUGGAUAUCAUCAAGUGGUUGGAUCCACCGUCUUUGCGGAUAGAUUCGAACAUUAACGAAAAACGGUGAUGAAGCCGCACACGCUGCUCAUGUCCAGAAGAUCUAUACGAUUGAUCUUUCAAAUCUUCCCCAAAACUAUUGGACAAAAUCAAUAGACCAAUCGAUCCUUGUUAACGUUCGAAUGCCCAUUUGAAGUUGGAAUGAAAGAAAAUAUUACUGCUCGGACCUUCAUGGAACGCUUCCUCGAUCGUGAUUUCUUCUGACGAGAACCAACCAGACGUUCAACGUUGAAGUGUAGUUGACCGAUGAUGUUACCGUACACGGGGAUAUGGUGAUUCGCGUUGCCAACUAACCAUUCACGGAAACCUGGCUGUAGAGGAGACGUUUAAUAAUCUGAACAUUCCGCAAGGCAUAACUGAUCCAUACGGCAAAGUGGCACAAUCUUCACAUCCAACGUCACCAUUUAUGGCGACGUCGUCAGUUCAGCGGGUUAUGUCAUCACACUGAGUAUGGAGGCUGGAGUUAUGCUGGAUGAUUUUGUUGCAGCUGCAGCUACGAUAGACGAGGACGCAACCAUUAUUGAACACGUACAUUUUAAGCGACAUUCAGAAAUGGAUGAUUUGCUCAACGAAAAUUCACUGAACGGCUGAGAUGUCAACGAUAUUGUUUCCAAAGGUUUAAGAAGAAAAACUUUGGAUUUCGUACAGUGGCCAUAGAUUACGAUUCACGGUCACGUAACAUUUAGGGACUCGUUUGAAACGGACACAAUCAACAGCUGCAAAGUUGAAGAAUAUUUAAGUCAAGGAGUGAAUAUGACAGACCCCAAAACAAUCUCUGGAACAAAAAAAAAAAUAAACACGCCAUCUUAUCGCUGUCGAAAAGGAAGUCACUCCAGGCUUAUUUAAUGGCGGUCAUCUGAAUUUCUCAAUGAUGUUGACAGUCUCUGAUAACCAGACCAAUACUGGCGACUGCAUCUUUGAUCAUCUGAAAUCCGAAAUAUCAAGUUGCGAGCUACUAACGCGCAGAAUCUCACCGAUUUUGUCCUGAUAGCUGGCACAAGUGAUGUCCAACCCAUCACUGGACCGAUGGAUAUUCAGCGCGUCACUGGUGAAAAUUCACUUAAAAUUGAAGACCAUGUCCUGGAUGGAUACAACAUUACAACCUAACUGAGUAUCUCAAUGUAACGGAAUUAGCUCAUCUCGACAGCUUGUUGGGUUGUCCAUCCAAAAUGGAUCGUUAUUGCUUGACCAGCCCUCGGAAAACAAUCCUGACCUUGCUACAGUAUCACUUAGAGCCUUACGAAAAGACAGAGCCCAAGCUGUUACCGGUAAUUCUAGAUAAUGCCUAUCUAGUUAACUACGCAACCUGGUAUGCCGUGGAAGAGCCACCUUUGGCUACCCCCCUUUCCACGAUGACUUCUACGCUGUAUCUUUGGCUCCUCCCAUUUCCACUAUGACUUCCACGCCGUACCGUUCCACGUUCCAAGUACAUGAUAGACACUGACCCUAGAGACUCGGCAAAUGGUAUUGCUGACCCGUGGUAACAGCGUCGACCAGGUUGCAGAAGGCUUGCGUUGCGUCGCAAAAUGUUCGCGUCGUAUUAUUUCCGCAAUUGCUGAUACUGACACCGUCUUUGCAGAGUCCAGUUCCAUCCUGAAGUUGAUUUGACUGAAAACGAAAAGAAUUCCAGCAGCUGCUUGCUUCAUUAGAGCUUAUUGUGGUGCUGUAAUAGUAUGUUUGCAGAAUUGUGAAAUUGCUUCCCUAAAGAAUGUACUCAGCACUGAAAAAUGAGCACAGCAAAAACGGUUGGUCGCAAUUCUAGACCUCAAAUGUUCAGAUUUCCCUGUUAUACGAGCGGGUCAUGAAGGAAAUGGCAAGGGUUCCUACACGGAAAUGGCGGGUAUUACAUGGCAAGAAGAAUACAUCCUCGACUUCACUUCUGUGCUGCAGAAAAAUCAGCAAAUCUAAAUCCUCAUUUUCUGCCGUUCCAAUGCGUCUCCGUCACUCCAAUGCUUUCGACAACAGGACCACAGCAGCAUUCUUCAAUCUGACUACUCCUGAUUGUCUUGAAGAUGUAUUGCUAUUGCUCGUCAUGCCCGGUUUGAAAUUUUACAGGACUGCGUUGUAAAUUGGUUUCACCUUUACGAAGAUUUAGAUCACAUGUUUACUGUGAAAGCGAUCAUGCGUCUGUUACCGAAAAUGGCUCUCUCCAUUGGCGACAUCAGAACUCCUCAGUGUGUCAUUCUGAUGCAGAGCUCCUGAAAUGAAUUGAUCGUUCUGAACCAUCUCAGGCCAUAGCUGAAAUUAUAGGAAAGUGAUUGCUUUUUGGUUGGUUUCUUCGCCGUCAGAUGCAUCAAUCGGAAUGGUGUUCACUUCCUCGGCGUCAUUGCUCACAAAACUUUGUGGUGCAUUGUUCUUAUCUCGAAGUUGUAUCAACUCGCUAAGGCAAAUCGGAAGAGGGUACUAUAUUUUCCUUGACAUAAAGAACUUUAAUGCAUUAGCAAGUCAUCCGCCUCCAAACAGAUCAAACGAACGAGAUAUCGUGCCUCGUCCGGUGACUUGACGUUUGGUUUAUCAAAGUAAUUUCAUUUCGAUUUGACUCUGAAAUACUUUACAGUAUGGCUGGCCGAUGCUUAACCAUUGAGCCGUAAGUCACAUUAAAUAGUUCAAUGUAUCGCUUUGUCAUUUAGGUUAAAGUACAUAGUUUAUACGUUCACUUAGAAUUAUAUUGUUAAAUGGAAUUUUCCAAGGAAAAUGCAUGAAUUAUUGUUCACUUUGCAGACUGUAUGAGCUGCCAUUUAAUAAGCUAAAUUACAUGGUUUCCGCGGGAAGUCCAUAUUUUAGAAGUCCAUUUUGGACAGUCCAAGUCCACAGUUUAGUAACACCCGCUGAUUAACUAAUUCUUUUUUCUCAAGCAGACGAACUGUUUGAUCAUUUUUGUCAUUGUCACUUACAUCGCCAUCUAGCGGAAAUUCUGUUAGGAAAAUAAGCCUGACUUUUACUUUCUGGUUCAGUUACGUGAAAUAUUGCUAUAAAAUUACAUGAUUUGUAUUCGAAAUUCAACGACAACGUCGAAAAUUUAGUUCAAUAUGGCUUGGAAGAAACAGUAUGAGUUAUUUUUUGUUUAAGAAAGUCGGGCUUUCUUAGCUUAUGAAAAAGUGGGAGGGUUUCAAGUUUGGUUUUAAAGCGGGUGGCGCCUUGACCACUCCUGUAUAUUUUCAAGACAUCUAGGGGAGAAAUAAAUAACUCCGUAGAAUUUUUUAUGGAUAUGUCAGCUGUCAUGUCAGCUGUUCUGUUUCGCAUGGCUUCGGAUUGAGGUUGGAUGCUUAAACUAAUGUCUCUCUUCUUGAAAUCUUCUUGAAAUUUAACCACCGAUUCCGUGUGUUUGAGCUGAGUCUUGUGAAUUCCAUCAAUGCAGAGUUGUUCAAGGAGGAAGCAUGGCUUGGCUUUGCUACCACGUUUUUCAUCUCCUUUAGUCCAAUAUACCUAAUUUGUUCCAAAGGCGAUGCGUAAAAAAAGUAGUUUUUUAAAAUAUAUUUCCCUAUCUAAAUCUCUUGAAUUCUUGGAGGUGUCAUCAGGUAAUGUUAGAAUUUAUCGUCAAUAGUUUUAGUUUUUGAAAUUGUGCUUUCAGGUCUUUGGGAUGUACCUGAUGUAUUGUGGUGGCCGCAGAAUCAUUCAAUGACUUGGUUUAAUCCAGGACUUGGUUUUUUUGAAGGUGGUUUACAGUUUUAAUUUUCAGAGAUCCUGGAGGUAUCUGAUGUGUUGCUUUGGUGUUGGAGUUACUCGGUGACAGAAGGGAAUGCCAACAAUGUUAUGUUGUCAGUGUAAAUAAAACAUAUCCAAUAAC